CCUACGGGAGGCAGCAGUAGGGAAUUUUCGUCAAUGGGCGCAAGCCUGAACGAGCAAUGCCGCGUGAACGAGGAAGGUCUUCGGAUCGUAAAGUUCUGUUGAAGGGGAAAAAGAGCGGAGAGAGGAAAUGGUCUCCGAUUGAUAUUACCCUUCGAGGAAGUCACGGCUAACUACGUGCCAGCAGCCGCGGUAAUACGUAGGUGGCGAGCGUUAUCCGGAAUGAUUGGGCGUAAAGGGUGCGUAGGCGGCCUGCUAAGUCUGGAGUGAAAGGUACCGGCUCAACCGGUACAGGCUCUGGAAACUGGCGGGCUAGAGAGCAGGAGAGGGCGGUGGAACUCCAUGUGUAGCGGUAAAAUGCGUAGAUAUCACACAGAACACCGAUUGCGAAGGCAUCUCACGAAUCCGCGAUUGACGCUGAUGCACGAAAGCGUGGGUAUCAAACAGGAUUAGAUACCCCAGUAGUC
rnacentral:rRNA from 1 species